rnacentral:tmRNA from 1 species
GGGGCUGACAUGGUUUUGACAGCAAGCCGGGGUGGUAUGUAAGCAUGCAGGGUGUGGUGGCGCAACCCGAACUGUGUCACGAACAACAAUUGGCGAAAACAAUUACGCUCUCGCAGCUUAACCGAAUAAAGUAGGUUGGCUCAAUUUCGGUACCAGGUACCGGAACGAGACGUUUCCCGGGAGGUUAAGACCUUAGCCGGCCUGAUCAGGAGACGCACGCAAUUAAGGUAUAGUCGGCAGGAGUCUCCGGCCUGACGAUGAAAAUAAGGAGAUAAGGACCGGUUCGGUUGUUUUGCACCUGGCCAGCCCCGACAAUCAAGCAAGACUAAGCAUGUAGAAAGCAUAUGGUCUCCUUGCCUGGACGCGGGUUCGACUCCCGCCAGCUCCACUG